AUGAAUCUUGCUCCAAGACGCCAUCUGCACUAUGCUAAAACAGUUGUCGUGAUAAGUCCUAUUUCAAACUUACAGUUAGCGUCACAAAUCAGCCUUGCAAAAAAAAAACCAGAAGCAAAAACUAACAGAAUUUAUACUAACCUAUGCUUCACAAAAAAAAUUAAGCUAACUAGCAGUUUCUAA